rnacentral:lncRNA from 1 species
CCAUUAUGAAUGAGCAGAGUUUCCUUUGACUCAACAUCAUAACUUCCUUCCAACUGUGUGUCUACCAUCUCCACAAUGGUACAGACCAUCAUCUCACAGAAGAGGAAGAGAAGAGAUGGAAAAACUGUGCUCUAGUGUGAUCCAGCCAGAGAAAGGCGAAAUAGCUGAGUCAGAUAGCAGCACAACUCAAGAGCCGGGAGCACAGAGUCAAAUCCCAGGUGAGAGAGUUCAUAAGAAAUAAUUGAAGGAUUUGGCUGAGCUAUAUCUGGACAAAUUAUGAGACAUAUGCUAGGAAUUAAUUCCAGAAUUGCUAGAAAAGGGAAGACCAAACACAAUGUUGCAUCAAGUCAAGCUUAUUAAUAUGUAUAUACUCAUUAGAUAUCGUGAGAGUGAGUUAUUAGCUUGAGUAUUUAGAUC